rnacentral:rRNA from 1 species
UACGUAGGGUGCGAGCGUUGUCCGGAAUUAUUGGGCGUAAAGAGCUCGUAGGCGGCUUGUCGCGUCGAAUGUGAAAACUCGGGGCUCAACUCCGAGCUUGCAUUCGAUACGGGCAGGCUAGAGUUCGGUAGGGGAGACUGGAAUUCCUGGUGUAGCGGUGAAAUGCGCAGAUAUCAGGAGGAACACCGGUGGCGAAGGCGGGUCUCUGGGCCGUCACUGACGCUGAGGAGCGAAAGCGUGGGGAGCGAACAGG